GUCUACGGCCAUACCACCCUGAACGCGCCCGAUCUCAUCUGAUCUCGGAAGCUAAGCAGGGUCGGGCCUGGUUAGUACUUGGAUGGGAGAAAUUAUAACAAAUCUUAUUGGUAUUUAAU
rnacentral:rRNA from 1 species